UACGAAGGGGGCUAGCGUUGCUCGGAAUCACUGGGCGUAAAGCGCACGUAGGCGGACUCUUAAGUCGGUGGUGAAAUCCUGGAGCUCAACUCCAGAACUGCCUUCGAUACUGAGAGUCUCGAGUCCGGGAGAGGUGAGUGGAACUGCGGGUGUAGAGGUGAAAUUCGUAGAUAUUCGCAAGAACACCAGUGGCGAAGGCGGCUCACUGGCCCGGUACUGACGCUGAGGUGCGAAAGCGUGGGGAGCAAACAGG
rnacentral:rRNA from 1 species